GGGGAUUUAGCUCAGCGGCAUAAGCGCCUGCCUUGCAAGCUGGCAGUCAGUCCUGAGUUCAAUCCCCG
rnacentral:tRNA from 1 species